UACGGAGGAUCCGAGCGUUAUCCGGAUUUAUUGGGUUUAAAGGGUGCGCAGGCGGAAGAUUAAGUCGGUGGUGAAAUUUUGCAGCUCAACUGUAACAGUGCCAUUGAUACUGGUUUCCUUGAGUGUGGAUGAAGUAGGCGGAAUUUGUGGUGUAGCGGUGAAAUGCAUAGAUAUCACGAGGAACUCCGAUUGCGUAGGCAGCUUACUGAGCCGACACUGACGCUGAGGCACGAAAGCGUGGGGAUCAAACAGGAUUA
rnacentral:rRNA from 1 species